CUCACUCGAUCUGUCCUCACUCGAUCCGCCUCCUAGCGGAGGUCGACGUCCCCGACGCUACCGGCCCUGGAGGUCUCCGCUACUGAGCAGUGCAUCUACGGUAGGUGGAUUUGGCUCAGAGAAAGCUUGGAUCAGCCACAUGGUCGAGGUGCUCGUCGGACAUAACGGCGGCUCCUGAUGCCGCAUUAACAUUGCAGCUAGCUUCUAUCAGUCCUGCUCAUACUUGAGGACAGCUUGAGAAAGAUGGAUAGCAUGCCUAACAAAAAUCCUAGAAUUAUCAGAUGGGAACUUGGGUCCUCCUGGCUGCAGCACUUGCAGAAAAAGGAUUCUCCAACGUCUGAUAAUGGUAAAGGGGACAAAAUAAAGGCUGACAAAGAACCAGCUGUCAAAGGUCUUGGAAAGCAUUUUGAACAAUUAAGGAAAAUAAAAAAGAAAGAAUGCAACAUUGAAUGUUCUGGUUCUGAGAAGGAAGAAUCUAACAAUAAUUGCUCACCAACGAAUGGUAUGCCAAAAUCAGAUAGGAUAGUUGUUGAUGAAACGAUCAAGGGGGCUGAUAUAAGCAAGCUAAUGUCAGAGGAUGCUUUCUUCCGGUUGAAGAGUUUGGGAGCUGGCCUUCAUGAAAAGGUGAUUUAAUUAUGCAAGUUCACUCUCUUAGAAAUUAUGUUUUAAGCUGGCUAGAAGUACACUUCUGAUUGGCUAAUAACUUCUCUCUGAAAUGCUUGUACAUUAUUUCUGUUCUACUAUUGUUGAUGUCUACAACAAAAAGGUAGGCAAGUUCACAGAGUUGUUUUAAAUUUUGAAAGUCUAUUGAAUAAUUUUAAAGCCAGUUAUACUAGAGUUUUGAACACUAUCAAUCAAUAUCUUCUGAUAUGAAAGUUUACUUAUGUUCUGAUGAGCCUUCUAAUGCUAUUUCACUUUGGAUAAACGUACCAAGCAACUAAUUGCAGUACUGGAUUUUUGUCAGAAGUUCUGUAUCGAAGUCUGUUAUGUUGGAAUACAAGAGCUCACCAAGGAAAUAUUGGUGAACUUUUUGUUGUUUUGUUUUCUAAUUUUAUUAUUUGUUGAUCCAGUCCCUUGAAGAACUUACAGACAAUGUUAUACAGUCGUCUAGUCGAACCUAGUCGCCAUGGCACCGAUAAGGCGACUAGUCGCGACUAGUCGUCGAUCAGGUCGAUUAGUCGACCCUAGUCGAUCCUAGUCGUCGCUAUAGUCGUCCUAUAUAUCCCACGACAUAUAUAUACAUGUAUAUGUACUUAUAUACUAUAUAGCAAGCAGGAACACCACAAUGAUAGUCAGUUUGGUGACACUUGUGAGAUUUGAUGUUUGAACUGUCCAGAACUCCAUAUUCUUGUCCCACACAGUACAGGCUAAUGGCUAAUGGUGCAAGUUAUAUAGUUAACCUAACCCUAAUGGCUAAUGGCUAAUGGUUAAUGGCUAAUGGUGCAAGUUAUAUAGUUAACCUAACCCUAAUGGCUAAUGGGCCUAAUUGAGCCCAGUACAUGCGGCGGGCUGGAGUGCUGGUCUGCUGGACAUCUUUUGGUUUUUGCCUGAUCGUCCAAGUAGCUAGUCGGACGACUAAUCGCGAUUAGGCGACGAUUAGUCGGACGAUCAGACAUCUGAUCGACAAAAGCUAGUCGUUUCACUUAUCGAAGCCAACGGAGCGAUAAGGUCGACUAAUCGCGACUAAUCGCGAUUAGUCGGACGACUGUAUAACAUGGCUUACAGAGAUGGCCCAUAAUUUCUAUGAUGAUACUGCACUCCCAAAACUGGUGUCUGAUUUUGCGUCCCUUGAACUUUCUCCAGUGGAUGGAAGAACCAUGACAGAUUUCAUGCAUACAAGGGGACUUAACAUGUCCUCCUUGGGUCGUGUGCUAGAGCUAGCAGAGAAGCUCCCACAUAUACAGUCUAUAUGCAUUCAUGAAAUGGUCAUUAGGUCGUUUAAGCACAUCAUCAGAGCUGUUAUUGCUGCUGUUGAUGACAUGCAAAAUAUGUCUGCAGCUAUAGCUAAGACUCUAAACAUAUUACUAGGCUCCCCCAGACUUGAAAAUGGUGCUGAUACAGAUGCACAUGUCGAGCAUAAUUUGCGAUUGAAAUGGGUAGAGAGCUUCCUUUCAAAAAGAUUCAGCUGGAAACUGAAAGAUGAAUUUGCACACCUGUGAAAAUUUAUCAUUCUGAGAGGGCUUUGCAGCAAGGUUGGACUAGAGUUGGUUGCAAAAGAUUAUAAUUUGAAUAGCCCUAACCCAUUCGACAAGUCUGACAUUAUCAGCAUUGUUCCUAUAUGCAAGCAUGUGGUCUACUCCUCAAUUGAUGGUCGAAACUUGCUGGAAUCAUCGAAGGUGGCAUUGGAUAAAGGAAAACUAAACGAUGCCGUCAGCUAUGGAACAAAGGUAUUAAAUAGUGUAGCUGUUGUAUAUGAUUCAAUACCAGAGCCUCAGCUGGUCAUACUUCUUUUUUUAGCCAUAAAGAAACUUAGAAAUAUGGGAGAUUGUUUGCUUCUAAUUUCCAUGUAUUCUCAUGCAUACCAUUUGCUUAUUGAAAUGGAUUACUUCAGCUUACACAGCC